rnacentral:rRNA from 1 species
UGGGGAAUAUUGCACAAUGGGCGCAAGCCUGAUGCAGCCAUGCCGCGUGUAUGAAGAAGGCCUUCGGGUUGUAAAGUACUUUCAGCGGGGAGGAUGGGAGUAAAGUUAAUACCUUUGCUCAUUGACGUUACCCGCAGAAGAAGCACCGGCUAACUCCGUGCCAGCAGCCGCGGUAAUACGGAGGGUGCAAGCGUUAAUCGGAAUUACUGGGCGUAAAGCGCACGCAGGCGGUUUGUUAAGUCAGAUGUGAAAUCCCCGGGCUCAACCUGGGAACUGCAUCUGAUACUGGCAAGCUUGAGUCUCGUAGAGGGGGGUAGAAUUCCAGGUGUAGCGGUGAAAUGCGUAGAGAUCUGGAGGAAUACCGGUGGCGAAGGCGACCCCCUGGACGAAGACUGACGCUCAGGUGCGAAAGCGUGGGGAGCAAACAGG